rnacentral:lncRNA from 1 species
AUGGACUGCAUUGUUUCCUGCACUCCUUCCAAGUUCAUGUUGAAGCCCAAACCCCCAGUACCUCAGAAUGUGACUGUAUUUGGAGAUAAAGUCUUUCAAAAGUCUGUUUCAGAGAGGGCUUCCUGGAGAACCCAGUGGGAUGCGGAGGCAUCCAUGUGGUCAUCUGAGGAAGACAUUUUCUUGCAGAAGCAACAACAGAGAGAGAGAGAAGGAGCACCAGCAAGGAGGAAGGUCAUAGAGAGAGGGAGAAACAGACUCUGCUGA